UAUGAUCUUUGGUAAAAGGUUAAUCUCUUUAUCGUCUUGUUAAUUAAAUAUAAGUAAUAAGCAUUGAGUAACUAUAGCAUUGCUAAUCCAAUAGUCAAUCAUAUAAGAAAUUUAGAAACAAGAACCCAUCGUCCGUGCCCCGUGGUAGGUAUGAUUUUCAAUUUGCAAUGAAGUAAAAUGGUGAAUAAAUAAAUGAGUUUUUUUUGUGCCAAAUUGUACAGUUUUGCAAGUAUACAGUAUACACAUCUUCGUUUCAUUGUAAAUAAAAUUAUAAGUGUAGGAAAUAAAAUUGUAAGUGUAGGCUUUCAGAUUGGAAUUUCCGUUGGCCUUGGCAGAAAGUGCAUCGCAUCACAGAUGAUAAGACGAACGUUCUCAGCUUCAUUUUACAAUUUUCCUUCAUUCGGGUCUUUGGCGGGGAGUUGUGUUGUGGCGUACUUACGUAACGUAAUGUCAUUGACAUUGGAUGAUAAGUGUUAAUUAAUACCUAAAGGACUGUAAGUAUUUUUUUGGAACAAUGCCGAGAAGAUCAGUUAGAAUUUUGUCGAUGCUCAAAAAUCCCGUCCAUCCGUAAGACAGCAUCCAGGAUGAAUAUGAUCUUCAAGACAUCGAACGUUGUCAAGAUGCCCUAAAUCCUGAAGAAAACCGAAUCGCACCAAUACAGACUACAGGGGAAAUUAUGGAGGAGAUAGAUUUGAUAAAACCAAAUACAAAAGGUAAACUCCAGCAUAAAUCUCUAGUAGCGCGCCAUAUGGUCUUCAGAAGAAAAAUCAGCUGUCUUAGGUUUUUUCAACCAAGAAAUUAAAAAAAGAUCUAGUACCCGGAGAAGCUCAAUGUGAAAAGUGCUUAGAAGAACAUGAUGUUUUGCCCACAAGAUCAUGGACCGACGUAAAAUUCUGCAUUAAAAACCAUCUAGACAAGAGAAAAGAUGAGUGCCUUUACUCAUACAAAGUUAAAAACUGCCUUUGUUGUACUAUAGUGUGACAUUUUACACGUUUAAUCUAUUUCUUAUUACUAAAAAAUGUACAGGUACUAGGUAGCUUUACUGAAAGCAUUGAAUUUAUAGAUAGUUAUCAAUUCAAUGCUGAAAGUACCAUUGCUGUACUAAUUAAGAUUAUUGUAGUUUUCUGAAACAUUUUUAAUUUUUCUGUUGUUCAUUGGGAUUUAUAAAAUUCCUUCUGUAUUUGUGUAUAGCCAACUGAAUAAAGAUUUCUA